GCGAGGGGAGUGAAAAAGAACCUGAAACCGUGUACGUACAAGCAGUGGGAGCCUCUUAAUGGGGUGACUGCGUACCUUUUGUAUAAUGGGUCAGCGACUUAUAUUCUGUAGCAAGGUUAACCGAAUAGGGGAGCCGAAGGGAAACCGAGUCUUAACUGGGCGUUAAGUUGCAGGGUAUAGACCCGAAACCCGGUGAUCUAGCCAUGGGCAGGUUGAAGGUUGGGUAACACUAACUGGAGGACCGAACCGACUAAUGUUGAAAAAUUAGCGGAUGACUUGUGGCUGGGGGUGAAAGGCCAAUCAAACCGGGAGAUAGCUGGUUCUCCCCGAAAGCUAUUUAGGUAGCGCCUCGUGAAUUCAUCUCCGGGGGUAGAGCACUGUUUCGGCAAGGGGGUCAUCCCGACUUACCAACCCGAUGCAAACUGCGAAUACCGGAGAAUGUUAUCACGGGAGACACACGGCGGGUGCUAACGUCCGUCGUGAAGAGGGAAACAACCCAGACCGCCAGCUAAGGUCCCAAAGUCAUGGUUAAGUGGGAAACGAUGUGGGAAGGCCCAGACAGCCAGGAUGUUGGCUUAGAAGCAGCCAUCAUUUAAAGAAAGCGUAAUAGCUCACUGGUCGAGUCGGCCUGCGCGGAAGAUGUAACGGGGCUAAACCAUGCACCGAAGCUGCGGCAGCGACACUAUGUGUUGUUGGGUAGGGGAGCGUUCUGUAAGCCUGUGAAGGUGGCCUGUGAGGGUUGCUGGAGGUAUCAGAAGUGCGAAUGCUGACAUAAGUAACGAUAAAGCGGGUGAAAAGCCCGCUCGCCGGAAGACCAAGGGUUCCUGUCCAACGUUAAUCGGGGCAGGGUGAGUCGACCCCUAAGGCGAGGCCGAAAGGCGUAGUCGAUGGGAAACAGGUUAAUAUUCCUGUACUUGGUGUUACUGCGAAGGGGGGACGGAGAAGGCUAUGUUGGCCGGGCGACGGUUGUCCCGGUUUAAGCGUGUAGGCUGGUUUUCCAGGCAAAUCCGGAAAAUCAAGGCUGAGGCGUGAUGACGAGGCACUACGGUGCUGAAGCGACAAAUGCCCUGCUUCCAGGAAAAGCCUCUAAGCAUCAGGUAACAUCAAAUCGUACCCCAAACCGACACAGGUGGUCAGGUAGAGAAUACCAAGGCGCUUGAGAGAACUCGGGUGAAGGAACUAGGCAAAAUGGUGCCGUAACUUCGGGAGAAGGCACGCUGAUAUGUAGGUGAAGCGACUUGCUCGUGGAGCUGAAAUCAGUCGAAGAUACCAGCUGGCUGCAACUGUUUAUUAAAAACACAGCACUGUGCAAACACGAAAGUGGACGUAUACGGUGUGACGCCUGCCCGGUGCCGGAAGGUUAAUUGAUGGGGUUAGCGGUAACGCGAAGCUCUUGAUCGAAGCCCCGGUAAACGGCGGCCGUAACUAUAACGGUCCUAAGGUAGCGAAAUUCCUUGUCGGGUAAGUUCCGACCUGCACGAAUGGCGUAAUGAUGGCCAGGCUGUCUCCACCCGAGACUCAGUGAAAUUGAACUCGCUGUGAAGAUGCAGUGUACCCGCGGCAAGACGGAAAGACCCCGUGAACCUUUACUAUAGCUUGACACUGAACAUUGAGCCUUGAUGUGUAGGAUAGGUGGGAGGCUUUGAAGUGUGGACGCCAGUCUGCAUGGAGCCGACCUUGAAAUACCACCCUUUAAUGUUUGAUGUUCUAACGUGGGCCCCUUACCGGGGUUGCGGACAGUGUCUGGUGGGUAGUUUGACUGGGGCGGUCUCCUCCUAAAGAGUAACGGAGGAGCACGAAGGUUGGCUAAUCCUGGUCGGACAUCAGGAGGUUAGUGCAAUGGCAUAAGCCAGCUUGACUGCGAGCGUGACGGCGCGAGCAGGUGCGAAAGCAGGUCAUAGUGAUCCGGUGGUUCUGAAUGGAAGGGCCAUCGCUCAACGGAUAAAAGGUACUCCGGGGAUAACAGGCUGAUACCGCCCAAGAGUUCAUAUCGACGGCGGUGUUUGGCACCUCGAUGUCGGCUCAUCACAUCCUGGGGCUGAAGUAGGUCCCAAGGGUAUGGCUGUUCGCCAUUUAAAGUGGUACGCGAGCUGGGUUUAGAACGUCGUGAGACAGUUCGGUCCCUAUCUGCCGUGGGCGCUGGAGAACUGAGGGGGGCUGCUCCUAGUACGAGAGGACCGGAGUGGACGCAUCACUGGUGUUCGGGUUGUCAUGCCAAUGGCACUGCCCGGUAGCUAAAUGCGGAAGAGAUAAGUGCUGAAAGCAUCUAAGCACGAAACUUGCCCCGAGAUGAGUUCUCCCUGACUCCUUGAGAGUCCUGAAGGAACGUUGAAGACGACGACGUUGAUAGGCCGGGUGUGUAAGCGCAGCGAUGCGUUGAGCUAACCGGUACUAAUGAACCGUGAGGCUUAACCUUACAACGCCGAAG
rnacentral:rRNA from 1 species